rnacentral:tRNA from 1 species
GCAGUGAUGGCGCAAUGGCAGCGCUUAUGUUUCCGGUUGCUCUUACACGGGUUAGCUAGUUACAUAGGGUUGCAGGUUCGAGUCCUGUUCACUGCG